UGGGGUUCCACUUUUAACAUAAGCAUGCAACUUUUAUUAAUUUGAUCCACAAAACAUUUUCCAUAGUAGUUGUUCAAAAUAAUUAAAGUUCUUUUUAAUUUCCUUUAGAAGUAUUCUAAGCAUAACUUGUACCAUUGGCAACAAACUAUCAAAAAAUAAUCUUCAUCGAAAUUCUAUCUAUCUUAGUAAUUAUCUCAUCUUUUAAAAGCAUGAAAGUUUUUACUACAUAAUGGGAAAAACAUGAUUGAACCCAUGAAAUAGAUUAUCAAACAUUCAUCAAUUAAUUAAAAAGAAAAACUACAAAUUCCAUUUCAACAAAACUACAAAUUCACAUUAAAACUUAAGUUUGGAUCAAACUAAUAAAAAUUACAUACUCAUAUUAAAAGCUUUCCCCCUAGCCUUAGCUAGGGAGUUAGUUUCCCAUAAAAUAAAACUAAAACAGAAAUUUAGAACUAGAAGAAUUGGAGGAAGGAGAGAGAGCUCAAGAGAAG
rnacentral:lncRNA from 1 species